rnacentral:rRNA from 1 species
UGGGGAAUAUUGCACAAUGGGCGCAAGCCUGAUGCAGCCAUGCCGCGUGUGUGAAGAAGGCCUUAGGGUUGUAAAGCACUUUCAGCGAGGAGGAAGGCGUUGUAGUUAAUAGCUGCAGCGAUUGACGUUACUCGCAGAAGAAGCACCGGCUAACUCCGUG